rfam:Triticum aestivum genome assembly, contig: Triticum_aestivum_CS42_TGACv1_scaffold_362540_4DS
AAAAUACUCCCUCCGUCUGGAAUUGCUUGUUGCAGAAAUGGAUGUAUCUCGACAAGUUUUUAGUUCUAAAUACAUCCAUUUUUAUCCAUUUUCGCGCCAAGUAAUUCGGGACAAAGGGAGUAGUAC